rnacentral:rRNA from 1 species
GUUGUAUGGUUAAGUGACUAAGCGUACACGGUGGAUGCCUUGGCAGUUGGAGGCGAUGAAGGACGUACUAACUUGCGAUAAGCUAAGUCAAGCCAGUAAGAGGCACUUGAGACUUAGAUUUCCGAAUGGGGAAACCCACCGCUUAGCGGUAUCUUGCAGUGAAUACAUAGCUGUAAGAGGCAAACCGGGAGAACUGAAACAUCUAAGUACCCCGAGGAAAAGAAAUCAACCGAGAUUCCGAAAGUAGCGGCGAGCGAAAUCGGAUUAGCCCUUAAGCUUCAGUGUAAUUAGUGGAACCUUCUGGAAAGUUGGACGACACAGGGUGACAGUCCCGUACACGAAAAUUUAUCUGAAGUGAAAUCGAGUAGGUCGGAGCACGUGAAACUUUGACUGAAUAUGGGGGGACCAUCCUCCAAGGCUAAAUACUCCCAACUGACCGAUAGUGAACCAGUACCGUGAGGGAAAGGCGAAAAGAACCCCUGUGAGGGGAGUGAAAUAGAACCUGAAACCGUGUACGUACAAGCAGUAGGAGCCCUUUCGAGGGUGACUGCGUACCUUUUGUAUAUAUGGGUCAGCGACUUAUAUUCUGUAGCGAGGUUAACCAUUUAGGGGAGCCGUAGCGAAAGCGAGUCUUAACUGGGCGCUUAAGUUGCAGGGUAUAGACCCGAAACCCGGUGAUCUAGCCAUGGGCAGGUUGAAGGUCAGGUAACACUGACUGGAGGACCGAACCCACUAACGUUGAAAAGUUAGGGGAUGACCUGUGGCUAGGAGUGAAAGGCUAAUCAAACCGGGAGAUAGCUGGUUCUCCC